rnacentral:rRNA from 1 species
AUGGAAUGGAAGAUACCACUAAAGAUAAAGAUAUUCAUGUGGUAUCUUCACAGGGGAGUUGUGUCUACAAACGACAAACUCGCUUGCCGCAAUUGACAAGGACGUAGGAAGUGUAGUUUUUGUGCUCACGAUUUGACAAUCAAACACCUAUUCUUUCAAUGCAAAUAUGUGUGUUGUACAUGGUCAACCAUCUAA